AGCUUAUCAGUGAUGUAAAAAUAAAUGUCUGAACAUAUGAAUGCUAUUGAUUUCAGCAUUUAACUGAGAUAAGCG
ensembl:snoRNA SNORD72 small nucleolar RNA, C/D box 72